rnacentral:rRNA from 1 species
GACGACGCUGGCGGCGUGCUUAACACAUGCAAGUCGAACGGUGACGAGGAGCUUGCUCUCUGAUCAGUGGCGAACGGGUGAGUAACACGUGAGCAACCUGCCCCAGACUCUGGGAUAACAGUUGGAAACAGCUGCUAAUACCGGAUACGAGACGGAGAGGCAUCUCUACCGUCUGGAAAGUUUUUCGGCUGGGAUGGACUCGCGGCCUAUCAGCUAGUUGGUGAGGUAAUGGCUCACCAAGGGCGACGACGGGGUAGCCGGCCCUGAGAGGGCGACCGGCCACACUGGGACUGAGACACGGCCCAGACUCCUACGGGAGGCAGCAGUGGGGAAUAUUGCACAAUGGGCGAAAGCCUGAUGCAGCGACGCCGCGUGAGGGAUGACGGCCUUCGGGUUGUAAACCUCUUUCAGCAGGGAAGAAGCGAAAGUGACGGUACCUGCAGAAGAAGCACCGGCUAACUACGUG